UACGAAGGGGGCUAGCGUUGCUCGGAAUCACUGGGCGUAAAGCGCACGUAGGCGGACUCUUAAGUCGGUGGUGAAAUCCUGGAGCUCAACUCCAGAACUGCCUUCGAUACUGAGAGUCUCGAGUCCGAGAGAGGUGAGUGGAACUGCGAGUGUAGAGGUGAAAUUCGUAGAUAUUCGCAAGAACACCAGUGGCGAAGGCGGCUCACUGGCUCGGUACCGACGCUGAGGUGCGAAAGCGUGGGGAGCAAACAGG
rnacentral:rRNA from 1 species